ensembl:misc_RNA Metazoa_SRP Metazoan signal recognition particle RNA
AAUGGCAUGUGCUUGCAGUCCCAGCUACUUGGGACUGGAGUAGGAGGAUCACCUGAGCCCAGGAGUUCUGGGCUAGAGGGUGCUAUGCCAAUUGGGUGUCCACAUUAAGUUUGCCAUCAGUAUGAUGACCUCCUGGGAGUAGAGAACCACCAAGUUGCCUAAGGAGAGAUGAACCAGCCCAGGCUGGAAAUGGAGUGUGAUGAUCAGUAGUGGGAUUGCGCCUGUGAAGAGCCACUGUAUUCCAGCCUGGGCAACACAGCGAGAUCCCGUCUCUU